rnacentral:rRNA from 1 species
UAAUACAGAGGGUGCAAGCGUUGUUCGGAAUUACUGGGCGUAAAGCGCGUGUAGGCUGCCCGUUAAGUCUCGUGUGAAAGCCCUGGGCUCAACCCAGGAAGUGCGCGAGAUACUGGUGGGCUGGAGUGACGGAGAGGAUGGCGGAAUACCCGGUGUAGAGGUGAAAUUCGUAGAUAUCGGGUGGAACACCUGUGGCGAAGGCGGCCAUCUGGACGUCAACUGACGCUGAGACGCGAAAGCGUGGGGAGCAAACAGGAUUAGAUACCCUGGUAGUCCACGCUGUAAACGAUGGAAGCUAGAUGUCACGGGUAUUGACCCCUGUGGUGUCGACGCUAACGCAUUAAGCUUCCCGCCUGGGGAGUACGGCCGCAAGGUUA